rnacentral:rRNA from 1 species
UCCUUUAGAGAUAGAGGAGUGCUCGAAAGAGAGCCGUAACACAGGUGCUGCAUGGCUGUCGUCAGCUCGUGUCGUGAGAUGUUGGGUUAAGUCCCGCAACGAGCGCAACCCUUGUCAUUAGUUGCUACAUUCAGUUGGGCACUCUAAUGAGACUGCCGGUGACAAACCGGAGGAAGGUGGGGAUGACGUCAAGUCCUCAUGGCCCUUAUAGGUGGGGCUACACACGUCAUACAAUGGAUGGUACAAAGGGUCGCCAACCCGCGAGGGGGAGCCAAUCCCAUAAAGCCAUUCGUAGUCCGGAUCGCAGUCUGCAACUCGACUGCGUGAAGUCGGAAUCGCUAGUAAUCGUGGAUCAGAAUGUCACGGUGAAUACGUUCCCGGGUCUU